GUCCCUUUAGCUCAGUUGGUUAGAGCCGUGGCAGUUAUCUGUCUGGAUGGCGCAGGUUCAAGUCCUGCAAGGGGCG
rnacentral:tRNA from 1 species